rnacentral:rRNA from 1 species
GACGUACGCUGGCGGCGUGCUUAACACAUGCAAGUCGAACGGAAAGGCCCCUUUGGGGGUCCUCGAGUGGCGAACGGGUGAGUAACACGUGAGUAACCUGCCCUUGACUUCGGGAUAACUUCAGGAAACUGGGGCUAAUACCGGAUAGGAAUCCUUGCUGCAUGGUGGGGGUUGGAAAGCUUCGGCGGUUUUGGAUGGACUCGCGGCUUAUCAGCUUGUUGGUGGGGUAGUGGCUUACCAAGGCUUUGACGGGUAGCCGGCCUGAGAGGGCGACCGGCCACAUUGGGACUGAGAUACGGCCCAGACUCCUACGGGAGGCAGCAGUGGGGAAUAUUGCACAAUGGGCGGAAGCCUGAUGCAGCAACGCCGCGUGCGGGAUGACGGCCUUCGGGUUGUAAACCGCUUUCAGCAGGGGCGAAGCUUGUGGUGACGGUACCUGCAGAAGAAGCACCGGCUAACUACGUG